rnacentral:rRNA from 1 species
AGAGGGUGCGAACGUUGCUCGGGUUUACUGGGCGUAAAGCGCGUGUAGGCGGACUCGCAAGUCCGUUGUGAAAUCCCUGGGCUCAACCUAGGAACUGCAUCCGAAACUGCUUGUCUUGAGUAAUGGAGAGGGUGGCGGAAUUCCCGGUGUAGAGGUGAAAUUCGUAGAUAUCGGGAGGAACAUCAGUGGCGAAGGCGGCCACCUGGACAUUCACUGACGCUGAGACGCGAAAGCGUGGGGAGCAAACAGGAUUAGAUACCCUGGUAGUCCACGCCGUAAACGAUGAGCACUAGGUGCAGCGGAUAUUGACCUCGGCUGUGCCGUAGCUAACGCGUUAAGUGCUCCGCCUGGGGAGUACGGCCGCAAGGCUA